rnacentral:rRNA from 1 species
AUUGAACGCUGGCGGCAGGCCUAACACAUGCAAGUCGAGCGGAGCGGCGGACGGGUGAGUAAUGACUAGGAAUCUGCCUGGCAGUGGGGGAUAACGUCCGGAAACGGGCGCUAAUACAGCACACUAUCUGAUGAGCCUAUGUCGUAUUAGCUAGUUGGAUGGGUAAAGGCCUACCAAGGCGACGAUCCGUAACUGGUCUGAGAGGAUGAUCAGUCACACUGGAACUGAGACACGGUCCAGACUCCUACGGGAGGCAGCAGUGGGGAAUCUUGGACAAUGGGCGAAAGCCUGAUCCAGCCAUGCCGCGUGUGUGAAGAAGGUCGUCGGAUUGUAAAGCACUUUAAGUUGGGAGGCGGUACCAACAGAAUAAGCACCGGCUAACUUCGUGCCAGCAGCCGCGGUAAUAC